rnacentral:rRNA from 1 species
GAUUAUGGCUCAGAUUGAACGCUGGCGGCGUGCUUAACACAUGCAAGUCGCGCGUGAAAGGACUUCGGUCCGAGUAAAGCGGCGCACGGGUGAGUAACGCGUGGAUGAUCUACCCAUGAGUUAGGAAUAACGGCUGGAAACGGUCGCUAAUACCAAAUACGCUCCGAUUUCAACUUCGGGGGAAAGGUGGCCUCUGCUUGCAAGCUACUGCUCAUGGAUGAGUCCGCGUCCCAUUAGCUAGUUGGUGGGGUAACGGCCCACCAAGGCGACGAUGGGUAGCCGGUCUGAGAGGAUGACCGGCCACACUGGGACUGGAACACGGCCCAGACUCCUACGGGAGGCAGCAGUGGGGAAUAUUGCGCAAUGGGCGAAAGCCUGACGCAGCGACGCCGCGUGAAGGGAUGAAGGUCCUCGGAUCGUAAACCUCUGUCAGGAGGGAAGAACCGCCACGGUGCUAAUCAGCCGUGGUCUGACGGUACCUCCAAAGGAAGCACCGGCUAACUCCGUGCCAGCCGCCGC